rnacentral:rRNA from 1 species
AUUGAACGCUAGCGGGAUGCUUUACACAUGCAAGUCGAACGGCAGCGCGGACCUCGGUCUGGCGGCGAGUGGCGAACGGGUGAGUAAUGUAUCGGAACGUGCCCAGUAGCGGGGGAUAACUACGCGAAAGCGUAGCUAAUACCGCAUACGCCCUACGGGGGAAAGCAGGGGAUCGUAAGACCUUGCACUAUUGGAGCGGCCGAUAUCGGAUUAGCUAGUUGGUGAGGUAACGGCUCACCAAGGCGACGAUCCGUAGCUGGUUUGAGAGGACGACCAGCCACACUGGGACUGAGACACGGCCCAGACUCCUACGGGAGGCAGCAGUGGGGAAUUUUGGACAAUGGGGGCAACCCUGAUCCAGCCAUCCCGCGUGUGCGAUGAAGGCCUUCGGGUUGUAAAGCACUUUUGGCAGGAAAGAAACGUCGCGGGCUAAUACCCCGUGGAACUGACGGUACCUGCAGAAUAAGCACCGGCUAACUACGUG